GGAGUAGCAAUACAACUGGUGGCGACCGGCGCACGGGUGAGUAACGCGUAUGCAACCCAUCUAUCAGAGGGGAAUAACCCGGCGAAAGUCGGACUAAUACCGCAUAAAACAGGGGCACCGCAUGGUGCUAUUUGUUAAAGAAAUUCGCUGAUAGAUGGGCAUGCGUUCCAUUAGGUAGUUGGUGAGGUAACGGCUCACCAAGCCGACGAUGGAUAGGGGAACUGAGAGGUUGGUCCCCCACACUGGUACUGAGACACGGACCAGACUCCUACGGGAGGCAGCAGUGAGGAAUAUUGGUCAAUGGGCGAGAGCCUGAACCAGCCAAGUCGCGUGAAGGAAGAAGGAUCUAUGGUUCGUAAACUUCUUUUGCAGGGGAAUAAAGUGCGGGACGUGUCCUGUUUUGUAUGUACCCUGAGAAUAAGGAUCGGCUAACUCCGUGCCAGCAGCCGCGGUAAUACGGAGGAUCCGAGCGUUAUCCGGAUUUAUUGGGUUUAAAGGGUGCGUAGGUGGUUUUAUAAGUCAGCGGUGAAAGUUUGCAGCUUAACUGUAAAAAUGCCGUUGAAACUGUAAGACUUGAGUGUAAAUGAGGUAGGCGGAAUGCGUGGUGUAGCGGUGAAAUGCAUAGAUAUCACGAAGAACUCCGAUUG
rnacentral:rRNA from 1 species